CCCUUAGACGUUCUGGGCCGCACGCGCGCUACACUGACACAGGCAACGAGCUUUCCUUUACCGAAAGGUAUGGGUAAUCUUUUGAAACUGUGUCGUGCUGGGGAUAGAUCCUUGCAAUUUUUGAUCUUAAACGAGGAAUUCCUAGUAAGCGCGAGUCAUCAACUCGCGUUGAUUACGUCCCUGCCCUUUGUACGCACCGCCCGUCGCUACUACCGAUUGAAUGGCUUAGUGAGGCCUCAGGAUCCGCGCUUAAUGUGUGGAGAAUUUGGACAAACUACGUCAUUUAGAGGAAGUAAAAGUCGUAACA
rnacentral:rRNA from 1 species